GGGGGAGCUUAAACUGAGCUGCCCGAGGAACUAGGACUUCCCUUCCCAAGGGCGGAGCUCAGGAAGGAGAGUAUUUCAGGCAUGAGGGGCAGAGAGCUUCCGUACAAAUAUCCUAAACAGGAAGCAGCAAAGGGACAAGUUUGACUAGGAUGGAGAAGUGUUGAGGGAGAAUGACAAUGCAUUAGCAGUCUGGUAAAAUGAGUGGGGACUGUCCUGUGAAGGGCAAGAAAUGCCAAACAGCAGCCCAGUGUGUGUUUUAGCCCAGAGAUGCCUGGGAGAGCUUUAUUCAUAUGCGUGUAUGUGUAUAUCUAGUGUGUGGAUAUACAUAUAUGACUGUAGCAUAUCUACAAUGUUGGUUGUCUCUCCAACCGAGGAUGACGAUUGUCUUUGUGCAUUUGGAAGCCUGGGUCCAUUGGCACGAAAAGUCGUUACACCUGGAGACUUCCUCAGCUGCAUUGGAUGGCCGUGUUGUCUUUUGUGCUCCAUCAUGCCCGAAGCACUCCACAGUGCCUUGCUGCAUCGCCAUCUCAGCCAUUGAAGCUUCUUGUUGGUUUCUUCUGCCUGUUCCGAAGCAGUCUUCACAUGCUGGGGAAACUGAGGCAAAGAAGAAGCCUUUCAAUUUAGGAAUGGCUAAACAAAUUGCGAUAGAAGAUUAUAUGGAAUAUUUCUGACCUACAAGAAAAGAAGAAUGUGAGUAACUCAGAGAAGCCUUGGAGGAUCCAUAUGAACUGAUAUAGAGGAAAGCAGGGAGAAUCAGGAGAACAAUGGACGCCAAACUAUUAUAAACAAUCACCAUAGAGAAAGAGAGUGAUGAAAGCAUAAUUAGAAUGUUCAGCCUUGUUCCCAGAGGGAAGAGGAAAAAAGAUGAAAAAAAGAGGUGGGUGAUGGUGUUCCCCAUUAGAAUGCAAGAUCAUUGGCUACAGGGGCUCUUUUUGCUUUAUGUUUGUUUCCCCCUGAAUUUAGUAUAAGAUUUGAUAUUGUUGGUCAAUUGUUUUCAGUCCUGUCUGACUCUUCCCAACCCCAUUUUAGGUUUUCUUGGCAAAGAUACUAGAAUGGUUUGCCAUUUCCUUUUCCAGCUCAGACUACACAUGAGGAAAUUGAGACAAUGAGGGUUAAUUCAGGGGCCAGGGUCACACAGCUAAUAAGCAUCUGAGGAGAGAUUUGCACUCAGGAAGAGGAAUCUUCCUAACUCCAGACCUGGGACUUGAUCUACUGUGCCACCUCAUUGCCCUAAUCUGGGAAUAGAAAGUUUUAAAUAAAUGUUUGCUGCUAGAUUGACCA
rnacentral:lncRNA from 1 species